AACAUAGAGAUAAUAGUAUUGUUAUUCAUCUCUACCUGUAGAUUUCGAAUCCCCUUCUCUCAAGCUAAAUUGAGACCAAUGCACACCCUCCACAAGCCAUAGCUUUGCCAUAGUCAGCAGUUUAAUCAAUUAUACAAGUAGCACCAUCGAGCCAGCCUCCCUUUUGAGGGUCUUCCUCUUCCCUCUACGUAGGGGAGGGCCCUCCCUUCUUCUCUCUCCUUUGCCUAGUGAGUAGGCAGUCCUUCCCCACCCACUCCUUAUGGGUAGUAGCUGCAGAUCUGAGCUUAUCGGAGAAGGACCAUUAGAGAUAUGUGGUGUUGGGUGUCUUUGGAGGUAGGCCAAGAACGGAGUAAAGAGAAGGCCUGUGUUGAUUUAGAGAACAACAUCUGACAAGGGUUAAUCUUGUUGAAGGAGGUAGGACCUGGUGUCAUCCAGCGCCUUUAUUGAAGUCUCGGCUCUGCUCUCCUCUCCUUACACUGGUGGCUUGGACUGGAGUUUGGACUCAUCAGUUUCUUAGGCGGUAGAGAGUUGAUGACUUUGGCUGCUUCUUCUGGUUUGUUUCCAUGUUUUCUGGUUUUUGGUCCUCUUUACUCUAUUUUGAUUGUAUUUGUUUGUUUGAGUUUGGGCCAUCACCCACCUAUUGUAAUACUCCAAAAUUUAAUGAAAUUUAAUUCAAAUGACUCGA
rnacentral:misc_RNA from 1 species